AGCGAACGUUUGCGGCGGGCCUAACACAUGCAAGUCGAACGCACUAGCAAUAGUGAGUGGCGCACGGGUGCGUAGCACGUGGGUAAUCAACCCUUCAGCCUGGGAUAACGACUCGAAAGGGUCGCUAAUACCGGAUACGGCGCGAGAGGCUUCGGCUUCUCACGAGAAAGCCACGCAAGGGGCACUGAAGGACGAGCCUGCGGCCCAUCAGCUAGUUGGUGAGGUAAGAGCUCACCAAGGCUAAGACGGGUAGCUGGUCUGAGAGGAUGAUCAGCCACACUGGAACUGAGACACGGUCCAGACUCCUACGGGAGGCAGCAGUGGGGAAUAUUGCGCAAUGGGCGAAAGCCUGACGCAGCCACGCCGCGUGAGCGAUGAAGGCC
rnacentral:rRNA from 1 species